ACGCAGCACGUAUUCGCUGAGUACGUACGAAUGUAUUGUUGUGUAGUUGCUUGCGCCGUUCGAUUCGCAUUUUGUUUAUUACCCGAUGGCAGAAGUUAAAAAAAAAUGCCUACAAAUAUUGUAUUGUUCCUAUGUGUCAAAGCACAACAGUUAAAAAUCCCAAUAAUUUUUUUUUUCGUGUACCAAAUAAUAUAACAACAAGGAAAAAGUGGUGCAAAGUAAUGAAGCGUGAUUAAUUGGCCCUAAAAGCACGAAAUAUGUGUGUGAAGAUCAUUUUGAUACAAGUAACUAUUAAUAAUAGGUGCCUGUUUCUGAUCGAUAUAGCUAUUGAAUCGUUGAAAAUGACAGAAAAUUUAGUUGAACAUCGACUAGUUGGGGGAACAUUGAAGUUAAAAGCCAACAUAUGUCCUCAUAAAUUUGACUGUCAAAAGGCGAUGAAACCUCAAAAAGAACGAGUAGCGUAUGAAAAAAGACGUCGAAUUUAAUUUUAUGAAAAUCUAUUAACAAAAGAAGUACCAUCGACUUCAAGUCAAUCAUCUUCGUUUCAAUCUUUUGAAAUGAUUGUGUGUGAUGAAAUGGAGUUAGAUGAAAUAGAGGAUCCGCUACCAGAGAGCAUUAUUUUUACAGAAUCAGAUAAUCAUCCCAAUAAAAAGAGAAACAAAGGAGUUCAAGUAAAUAUGAAAACGUCACAGAAAAAUCAAGCAGUGCAAACAAUUGUAAGGAGGAACAGUGCGAAAAAUACAGGAAAUAAAUACUCCCAAAUUGUUUGUGAAUCUCCUCAGCACUCUCCAUCGAGAAUAUCGAUAUCUUCUCUAAGCAGUUCUCAAUCAAAAACAUCAAUAUUUUCACUGAACAGUACAAGUUCAGCUAGCUCCUUCUCAAACACAAUCAAGCCUCAAUAUUGCAAUGAUACCAUAAACAAAAUAACUAAAAACG